rnacentral:rRNA from 1 species
UGGGGAAUAUUGCACAAUGGACGGAAGUUUGAUGCAGCGACGCCGCGUGGAGGGUGUAGGCCUUCGGGUUGUGAACUCCUUUUUCUCGCGAAAAAGGCACAGUUUUGGCUGUGUUGAUGGUAGUGGGGGAAGAAGCGCCGGCUAACUACGUGCCAGCAGCCGCGGUAAUACGUAGGGCGCGAGCGUUGUCCGGAUUUAUUGGGCGUAAAGAGCUCGUAGGUGGUUCGUCGCAUCUGUCGUGAAAGCCAGCAGCUUAACUGUUGGUCUGCGGUGGGUACGGGCGGGCUUGAGUGCGGUAGGGGUGACUGGAAUUCCUGGUGUAGCGGUGGAAUGCGCAGAUAUCAGGAGGAACACCGAUGGCGAAGGCAGGUCACUGGGCCGUUACUGACACUGAGGAGCGAAAGCGUGGGGAGCGAACAGG